rnacentral:lncRNA from 1 species
UGGGUUUGGCUUUGGAUCUUGGGUUUUUGCAGAUUUUGCAGAUUUUUGCAGAUUUUGUAGAUUCAUAGUGGUGAGGUUUGAUGAAAAAAUGAAAGAGUAUCGACAUAGUUUUUUGUGUCGAUUCCCACAGACGGCGCCAAAUGUUGAUGCACAAAACUGAAGGUCUAGGAACAACGUAAAUCCGACCGUGAAUCUGCAAGAAAUGUAAAUAACACAAGAUGUAUCGUGGUUCACCCCAAUGUUUAGGCUACGUUCACACUUAUAUUGUAUUUCUCUGAGAGGAUUGUGAGAGGAGAGAAAGAGCUUUUCUGUGAAGAUGAGAGCUCUAAGAGGGUGAGGGUAUGGCUUAGGAAUUGGCCUCCGGAAGUGAGGAAGCUCCCCCUAAUUGUAAGGGUGAUGGGUCCUUUUAUAGAAUAAGGACUUCUCACUUAUUACAUAUUUGCUCAUUCCUUUAUUACAUAAUUACAUUUAAGUCCCCUGAGUAUUUAUACGAGAUCUAAAUACGGAGGCCCUAAGUAUGGUAUAAACCAAUAUAAUUCCAAGUCCAAGAGAGAAUCUACAUCAAAGUUGGAGAUCUCUGAACCUGCUGCCCUUUCCUGCGAGCAGCCCAGCAGGUGUGGGGGCAUUUGUGGAGCCAAAAAUAAUCACAAGGCGACACGUGGGGUUUUUGGAUAAAAGAGGAUAAAAAUACCCUUGAGGCAUAUUGGGAUUCCUACGCGCGAGCAAUGGGCAAUCAUCCAUCAACCAAGUCAAAAGUGCCCAAAAUAGGUAACAAUUCAAAAUCUAUCUCAUUCAUCCUCAUCAAAUCCCUUCUACAACGUAACUCCCAAAACCUAUUUUAUUCCAUAUAUUUUCUACCUCAUUUUCCCUUUUUUAGCCAAUCAAUUAGGUAAUUAUAACUCCCAAAUUAUUUCUUUCAAAUUAUGUUAAUUAGUCAAUUAAUGGAUUUAUUACCUAAUUAAUCUAUUAAUGGCUAAUUAGCUACAAAUUACAGCCACAAAACACCCCAAAUGGCUGGUCCCUAUUCUCCUAACAGGGCCGACCAUAUCCCUAUAAAUAGCUCUCCAUUCUCUCCAAAAACCACUUGGAAGUCUCUUGCUAAAAUUCUCAAACACUUUCUCUCUAAAUUCUAACUUUGGCAUCGGAGGUUCUUCGGCCAAAGCCCCACCCCUCCCCCCCCCCCCCCAAUUCAUCGUGAGCACGUGAGGCUUUUGGCCUUGACCAAAUGUGUUAAUUGUUUUGUAGGUGCAAUUUUGUCCAAAAUCAAGGAAGAAGAAAUUUGCAUCCACAUUCAACAGUCAAAUCCAAGGAAAAAUGGGAUGCUAUAUCAGUUGAAUGAAUCGUUUUUGCAGUCCUACUUCUUCAUAGUUUAAUGUGCCAGAAGUGGAAAAAUGCCAAAUUUCAAUGAAAUUUUCUAACCAAUUCAAAGUUUCCUAGAACUAUAUA